rnacentral:lncRNA from 1 species
GACAUCGCCAUCAGACUCCAUGGUCUGAACAACAACAAAUUAUCAUGGCACAACCACUAAGGAGUUAAUGGCCUUCACCCAGCUCACAAGAAGUGACCACCACAUGCCUAAGAAUGCCAAUUAGAGAUCCUGCAUUCAUGAAUAGACACGAUAAUUUGGAAAGGCUAAGUAAAAGUGAGAUGGAAGAUAUAGCAUGGAG